rnacentral:rRNA from 1 species
UACGGAGGGGGCUAGCGUUGUUCGGAAUUACUGGGCGUAAAGCGCGCGCAGGCGGUCUUCCAAGUCAGUGGUGAAAGCCCGGAGCUCAACUCCGGAACUGCCAUUGAAACUGUAAGACUUGAGGAUGAGAGAGGUGAGUGGAAUUCCCAGUGUAGAGGUGAAAUUCGUAGAUAUUCGGAAGAACACCAGUGGCGAAGGCGACUCACUGGCCCAUUACUGACGCUGAGGCGCGAAAGCGUGGGGAGCAAACAGG